rnacentral:rRNA from 1 species
CACGUAGGGUGCGAGCGUUGUCCGGAAUUAUUGGGCGUAAAGAGCUCGUAGGCGGUGUGUCGCGUCGGCCGUGAAAACCUGCAGCUUAACUGUGGGCUUGCGGUCGAUACGGGCAUCACUGGAGUUCGGCAGGGGAGACUGGAAUUCCUGGUGUAGCGGUGAAAAUGCGUAGAUAUCGAGAGGAACACCUGCGGCGAAGGCGGGUUGCUGGGCUGAUACUGACGCUGAGGCGCGGAAAGCCAGGGGAGCGAACGGG